GACAGAGGGUGCAAACGUUGUUCGGAAUUACUGGGCGUAAAGCGCGUGUAGGCGGCCCUGCAAGUCGGAUGUGAAAUCCCACGGCUCAACCGUGGAAGUGCAUUCGAAACUGCAGGGCUAGAGUCCUGGAGAGGAAGGUGGAAUGCUUGGUGUAGAGGUGAAAUUCGUAGAUAUCAGGAGGAACACCGGUGGCGAAGGCGGGUCUCUGGGCCGAUACUGACGCUGAGGAGCGAAAGCGUGGGGAGCGAACAGG
rnacentral:rRNA from 1 species